rnacentral:misc_RNA from 1 species
CUGAAUUGUAAACAAGGGUUGUUGCUGGUCCUCAAAUGGGGACAUGUGCACGCUCUGUUCACACAUCCAAUCACACCUGUGCACCCUCUGCGGUUCUGUGGUCAGGGGGGCUUUGCCUUCCUGUGCUGUGGUUCUGCUUCUUUACACACACACACUGUAACAAAGUCUUGUGGAAUGUAUGCUGCGUUUAACGCAAUACAAUA